CUUGGUCAUUUAGAGGAAGUAAAAGUCGUAACAAGGUCUCCGUUGGUGAACCAGCGGAGGGAUCAUUAGCGAGUUAACUAAAAACUCCAAACCCAUGUGAACAUACCUAUUGUUGCCUCGGCAGGCCGUGCUGCACGGCCUGGAUUCCCACCUGCGGAUGGCAGCUACCCUGUAGCAGGUUACUGGGAGUAGCUACCCUGUAACAGGCUGCUAGGAGUAGCUACCCUAUAGCAGGUUACUGGGAGUAGCUACCCUAUAGUUGGGAACACCUACCCUGUAGUACACAACUAGGCCUGCCGACGGACCCCUAAACUCUGUUUUUACAACUGUAUCUCUGAGUUGGCUAUACAAAUAAGUUAAAACUUUCAACAACGGAUCUCUUGGUUCUGGCAUCGAUGAAGAACGCAGCGAAAUGCGAUAAGUAAUGUGAAUUGCAGAAUUCAGUGAAUCAUCGAAUCUUUGAACGCACAUUGCGCCUAAUAGUAUUCUGUUAGGCAUGCCUGUUCGAGCGUCAUUUCAACCCCCAAGCCCUAUUUGCUUGACGUUGGGAGCUUACGGCGACGUAACUCCUUAAAUCUAGUGGCGGAGCUGAGUUGUGCUCUAAGCGUAGUAAUUAUACCCUCGCUUUUGAAGCCGGCCUGCGUCUUGCCGUAAAACCCCCUAUUUUAUUCUGGUUGACCUCGGAUCAGGUAGGAAUACCCGCUGAACUUAAGCAUAUCAAUAAGCGGAGGA
rnacentral:rRNA from 1 species